ensembl:lncRNA
GUACAGACUGCUGCCAUGCCGGCUGGCUAGGUCACUCUCCCAUCAUUAAAGGAAAUCAGAACAGGAACUCAAGCAGUUCUGGAACCUGGAGACUGGAGCUGAUGCAGAGGACAUGGAGGGACACUAAUUGGCUUGUGUCGUGUGGUUUCAUCAGCCUGCUGUCCUAUGGACUUCAGGACCACCAGCCCAAGCAUGGCAGAGCCACAAUAUUUUAUGGUGUUUGCUUCUGUCUGUGGGCAUAAACUCCCCAAUGGAUGUCACUGCAGAUGCCAGAGACUUCAGGUCUGCAGCUGGAUAAUAGAUGGUUGUGACAUCAUUACAAAAUGCUGUGAAGGCCCCCAUAACCAUGGAGACAUGUCUCUAACACUUCAUAUCGUUUAUAAGAAAGUGAGAUUUUCAAGAAAUUAUGCUAAAGUAACAAUAUCUAAGAGUUUUUAGUUUAAGAUCAUAUUAAUCAUAUUCAUUUAGAAAAUAUUUCAUUUAAAAUAUAAUCCUUCAACAGUAAUGAAUGCAAAAUUGCAAUAUUAUUCUUGUUUUUUUCUACUGUUAUUAUUGAUUAUACAUCUUUUUAGUAUAUAAUAUAUUCUGAUUAUUGUUUCCUCUCUCAAUUCUUUCAGAUCCUUCCCACACUUUCUUCAAAAUCCAUAUCAUUUUGUUCUCUCAUUAGAAAAAAAUUGGAUUAAAAAUAAUAAAAUAUACAAACAAAACAAAUCCAAAAUAGGAUAAAAGAACAACAAACAGAAGUAAAUGGGUCAAAGUAAAAGAUCAAGAAAUGCUUGUAGACACAGAGACGCAUAGUUCACAUACACAUAAAUCACAUAAAAACACAAAACCAUGAAUCACAAUAUAUAUGCAAAGGAUGGAUAAAGUAAAACAACAACAAACAGUGCAACAAAUGCCUUCAUAAUUCCUCCAUAAAGAUAGCUAUUACACUUCAUUGUAUUAAUGUGAUUUGUUCGGAGACUUUCAUUUUUGUUUUCCUUUUUUGAAUUUCAAGCAAUUCAAACUACAAUAACUCCUUUACUGCUAAGUUCCUAAAAGUAUCAAGAAUUAACUGAUAAUUUUUAUUAUAAAAAACUUGUGAAUCACAAAGAUAUUAGAGUUUUGAACUAGGAAACUAGGAGAUAACCAAACAGAAGUUAGGAAAAAACCAAUAUAGUGAUUUCCGAUAAUAUUCUGCUAUACUUAUAGAUUGCUGUCAUCAUCAGAGACUUCCCCUGGCACCAGAAGGGAGCAGGUGUAGAAAACUACAGCCAGACAUUAUGCAGAAAGAGGGUCUAAAUCAGAGGUCUCCAUCAUGUCCCUCCAAUAGGAGCUUGGAUUAGGAGCUUGGAAAAAUCCAGUGGAGAAUGGGGAGGAAAGAUUAUAGAAGUCAGAGGAAAUGGGGAUGGAGGAACGCUAGCCAACCAGAGCCUGAAAAACAUGGCUCUGGAAGUCUUUGUUCUUCUCCCCCAUUCACUGCAUCUUGCUAAAAACCUUUACAAAAAUCUUCUUUUAUAUUUGGCCACGUCCUUCUUCAGAGACUCACUACCAAGGUCCAGCUAUCAAAAUACUGAAAUCCACUAAUCAAAAGUCCUUUGGGAUCACCAAAAUGGCAUGCCGAAAUAAAAUUAAAUAUAUCAUCCUAACACUGAGUUUUUCCUUUUACCUUUGUAAACAGCCAUUAGCUUACGAUCAGUGUCUGUCUCCAUUCGAUCCAUGUGCAGUUCUUUGUGCCCCUAAGGACAGAUAUUGCUUUCCCCUCUCCCUUUUUUCCUAUUUCUUCUCCAUCAUCCUCUAUUUUCUUUCUUUACUUCAUAUUCCCUGCCUUUUGUCCCUCUUGGGCAAACAAAGCUCUUUUUUUGCUGUGAACUUGGUCUUCGGGUGUCCAGAGUCAAUAUGAGUCCCUACAGAGGAUACCAGAAGAACAUGGCCCACUUAAUUAACUAAGCAGGACUCAGAUGGGCUCACAGAGACUGAAGUAACAAGCAUUAUUGGACCUGCAGAGUUCAACACCUGGUCCUCUAUGUAUAUGUUUUGGCUGUUAGUUUGGUGUUUUUGUUAAGACUCCAAAUGGUGGGAGUAGAUGUAUCUUUGACUCCUUUCCCUACCUUUGGGUCUCUUUUCCUCUUGUUAGGUUGCCUUGUUCAGCCUCAAUAUGAAGACUUUUGUCUUGUCACAUUGUAUUUUAUCAUGUUAUUUUGGCUGCUGUGUCUUGGAAACCUGUGUUCUGUUGGAGGAAGAGUGGCUCUGGGGGAAAGGGGAGGUGGGUUGUGUCUGGAAGGAGUGGAAAGACAGGAAUCAGUGGUCAGAAUGUGACAGAAGAAGCUAUUUUCAAUAUGAAAAUUAAAGAAUAAUGUCUUAUAUUUAAAAUUUUUAUACAAUUUUCUUCUAUCUUUCCUUCAGAUUUAAUAUUUAAGUAAAAAUUAACUGUACUAACAUUGCAUGAAUUUCUUUAAGAAUUACUCAA